UUGCCCAAUGAUUAUAGCAAGACGCGUUAUUAUGAGGACUAAUGCUGGAACUCUUUCUCCUCCUCCUCCUUCUCCUCCUCCUCCUCCUCCUCCUUUGUCCCUUCCUCUUUCACCUUACCCCUCACUUUCCUUAGGGUAUCCAGCGUCCUAUGAGCAAGACUGAGAUAUGAGGGCAA
rnacentral:snoRNA from 1 species